UUAUUUGAAAUAGGAUACAACCUCUAACACCGGGUAAAUAAAAGUGGUCUAAAUAAAGUGGGCCUAAAAGCAGCCACCUUUAAAAAAGCGUUACAGCUUAACUACCCCCACACCUAAUUUAUUAAUCUCCCCCCAACCCUUCACCAGUACUGAACUAUUUUAUACUCUAUAAAAACUAUUAUGCUAGAACUAGUAACAAGAAUACUGCCCUUCUCCUAAAUGCAAGUAUAAACCAAUAUGGACACCCCCUUGGUACUUAACGCAAAUGCACAAAAUAUAGUAAUACACAUCUAGAAAACCCUAUAAUCCCAAACGUUAACCUUACACUAGAACAUUACAGGAAAGAUUAAAAGAGAGAGAAGGAACUCGGCAAACCUCAGCCCCGCCUGUUUACCAAAAACAUCGCCUCUUGAUCAACAUAAGAGGUCCAGCCUGCCCAGUGACAAAGUUCAACGGCCGCGGUAACCUAACCGUGCGAAGGUAGCAUAAUCACUUGUUCCCUAAAUAGGGACUCGUAUCAACGGCAUCACGAGGGCUGUACUGUCUCCUCCCUCCAAUCAGUGAAACUGAUCUCCCCGUGAAGAAGCGGGGAUGUAAUU
rnacentral:rRNA from 1 species